rnacentral:rRNA from 1 species
CCCCUAGAUGUUCUGGGCCGCACGCGCGCUACACUGAACAGUUCAACAAGUCUUAACCUUGGCCGAUAGGUCUGGGUAAUCUUUGAACGCUGUUCGUGAUUGGGAUAGACCUUUGCAAUUAUGGGUCUUCAACGAGGAUUUCCUAGUAAACGCAAGUCAUCAGCUUGCAUUGAUUACGUCCCUGCCCUUUGUACACACCGCCCGUCGCACCUACCGAUUGAAUGGUCCGGUGAAAUCUCGGGACGGCGGCUUGGUCGCUUGCGUCCGACUGCUGAAACUUGAUUAAACCAUNUNAUUUAGNGGAAGGUGAANUCGUANCA